rnacentral:rRNA from 1 species
UCGCUGUUUAUCAAAAACAUCUUCUCUUGUUUUUUUUGAGGUAUGGCCUGCCCGCUGAUUUUUUUUGAAGGGCCGCGGUAUCUUGACCGUGCAAAGGUAGCAUAAUCAUUAGUCUUUUAAUUGUGGGCUGGAAUGAAUGGUUUGACGAGAUAUAAUCUGUCUCUUUUUGAUUUAUUGAAUUUUGGUUUUAGGUAAGAAUACCUAAAUUUUUUUAUGGGACGAGAAGACCCUAUAGAGUUUUAUAUUUAUGAUGAUUUUUUUGUUGGUUUUUCUUUAUAUUGUUUUUUUUAUUUUGCUGGGGCGGCUAGGAGAUUUAUUUAACUCUUCUUUUAUUUUUUUAUUUAUUUAUAUUUUUUUGAUCCUUUAUUAUUGAUUUUAAGAUUAAAUUACCUUAGGGAUAACAGCGUAA